rnacentral:rRNA from 1 species
GUUGUCGUCAGCUCGUGUCGUGAGAUGUUGGGUUAAGUCCCGCAACGAGCGCAACCCUUAAGCUUAGUUGCCAUCAUUAAGUUGGGCACUCUAAGUUGACUGCCGGUGACAAACCGGAGGAAGGUGGGGAUGACGUCAAAUCAUCAUGCCCCUUAUGAUUUGGGCUACACACGUGCUACAAUGGACAAUACAAAGGGCAGCGAAACCGCGAGGUCAAGCAAAUCCCAUAAAGUUGUUCUCAGUUCGGAUUGUAGUCUGCAACUCGACUACAUGAAGCUGGAAUCGCUAGUAAUCGUAGAUCAGCAUGCUACGGUGAAUACGUUCCCGGGUCUUGUACACACCGCCCGUCACACCACGAGAGUUUGUAACACCCGAAGCCGGUGGAGUAACCUUUUAGGAGCUAGCCGUCGAAGGUGGGACAAAUGAUUGGGGUGAAGUCGUAACAAGGUAGCCGUAUCGGAAGGUGCGGCUGGAUCACCUCCUUUCUA